AUUUCUUUCUGCCAGAACCGAGAUCAGAAAUAACUCAGCUGUGAAAAAAACUUCGAGGCUCGCGGGCAGCGCUUGAGGAAGACGAAUUGCCGCUGGGUUAUUUUUCCCUCUGAGUCAGAAGUGUGACGGUACCUUCAGAGCCAUGCUGGGGUGAGCACACUGAGGUCCCCCUUCCUCCCGACCCUUGGAAGCUCAUGCCAAGGGAGAUACAACCCCAGCAGCAUCAGGAACACCCACAGACACAGCUCACCAGCCAACAUGGAGAUAGUGGAGGUGUCCUCUGCAGGAGUAGAAGUGGAGUACGUGUUGUGGAUGCUGGUGGGAUUGGAUUCAGCCAUGAAGAAAAGUGGAGUUACGCCACUAGCAAGAAAGUGAAUGGAACCGGAGAGAAUCCUAUUAAGAGAAUUAAAACAGACUUAGAAAGUCAAA
rnacentral:sRNA from 1 species